UUCCUAUGCCAUAAACUACAGCAAACUGAAGCACCACAGGAACUACAA
rfam:Aedes aegypti strain Liverpool supercont1.41 genomic scaffold, whole genome shotgun sequence.